AAGAAGUGGCGUGCCGUGUGCAGUUCGAUACAUAGACUACCGAGUGCACGCCACCCCAUUCAAUCAUUCGAAUUACGACGGUUGAUAGUGUCAGAGAUAUUCCGCCGCGUGGAGUUUGUGGGCCGGAGAAUAAGAAUCUUUCACAUCGACUAAACGACGAAAAAGUUCCGAGUGUGCGUGCGUGUUAGUGUGCAAAAGCCCCUUUGAGGUCCGAAUUUCUACACCUUGUGAAACUAGAUCCAGAACCGAGAACCAGCCAAGAUGCCGUUCAAGCCAGCUGAGAACCCCAAGUGCCCCAAGUGCGGCAAGUCGGUCUACGCCGCCGAGGAACGAGUCGCCGGUGGACACAAAUGGCACAAAGGAUGCUUCAAGUGCGGAAUGUGCGGCAAGAUGCUCGACUCGACCAACUGCGCCGAGCACGAGAACGAGCUGUACUGCAAAAAUUGCCACGGCCGCAAGUACGGACCCAAGGGUUACGGAUUCGGUGGCGGUGCCGGCUGCCUGUCGAUGGACUCCGGUGCCCAAUUCCAGACCGAAGGGCCUACCAUAAGGGAUGCUUCAAGUGUGGCGAGUGCAAGAAGAAUCUGGACUCGGUGAACUGCUGCGAGGGUCCGGAUCGUGAAAUCUACUGCCGAGUGUGCUACGGUAAAAAGUUUGGCCCGAAGGGAUACGGCUACGGUCAAGGCGGUGGAGCCUUGCAAACCGAUAGCACUGACAUUAUCAGCGAAUUUUCGAUCAAGCC
rnacentral:misc_RNA from 1 species